UUACGGCCACAUCAAAUUGAAACACCGGUUUUCGUACGAUCACCGAAGUUAAGCAACGUCGAGUCUGGUCAGUACCUAGAUGGGUGACCACUUGAGAAUACCAGGUGUUGAAAG